UGUGUGUGUUUAUGGGAAAAAAAAACCCAGGCAGGUAUUCACAGGUUCUCGGCUUUCUUCCCCUUCCCUCCCUAUUGUUGCUGAUUCCCUCACUGAAAGGGGAACUUCAAAUUCUUUUUAAAAGGACUUUUAGCAAACACACACAGACACCUGAAAGGACACAACAACAAACUCCACAGAGUCCAUUUUAAGGCACCGGCAUUGGUGUGGCUUUCUUCCAUUCAUUUCCCUCCUCUCCCGUCCUCCUUCCACUUUUCACUCCCUCCCAUAGCAUUCCAGUGUAUUCUCCCUUCAUUCCACCUCCACUCCUCUACGAUGACCACCCUUGCUCCUGCUCCUCAACCGAGAGGCAUCGACCUCAGCCUGCCCACCUGUGGACAGACUCAGUGCAAUAGCCAUGGCACCUGCGUUGUACCUCCUGGUGGUGGCACUGAUUUGGUGUGUGAAUGUGAGCUUGGCUACCGGGGGGAAUCCUGCGAGGACACGGUCAACGGGGCGUUAAGUUUACCACUGACUCUGAGUGUGUUGGCAGUCAUCAUCGGGGUGCUGACCAUCGCGUUCAUCGCUGCCAAAAUUAGGCAGAGGCAAAAGAAAAGGAACAGGAAACGUCUGGCAGAAAAACAUGGCUACAACAUUGCUGUGUAAUGUGGAUAAAUCUCAAUCAUAUCUGAGGUCAACCAUGAAAUAAUGGCCAGCGAUACUAUUGGGCUUCCAUCAGCAUCCUUCUGCAGCAAGCUUACGGCGCAGUUUGUUGAAUGUUGUGUGAUGUUUGUUAAAAGCGAAUCAAAUUUGCUGUUCUCGGCUGACUUGUGCCUGCCACUCUACGACUGAUUGUCCCAGAAACUCAAACUGAUGAACUGAGCAACAGUGAAUUUCUGCAGAUGUUUUUCAGACAUCAUUUGAUAAUGGAAAAAAAAAAUCCAACUCUAAAUUAUAUCCCAACACACAUGAUUUAUUGAGAGAAAAUGACAUGCAUGUAUUUCAGAGCUCUCAAACUGUUGGUGGUUAGUGGAUGACUCACAGUAUGUUUAGAGGUACACUAGUGUCUCAUUACAGCAGAGACUUUAAGCUGAUGUUGACAUAAUACAGUGCAUCUAUGCUGUUUGCUAACUUUAAAACUUAAUACAUUUAUGGAGUUACAAUUUUAAAAAAAAGCAUGCCCAUAGAAAAUUGAUAUGUGGGAAACCAGUCUAGGAAUGGAAGGUUUUGUCACUACGUUUAUUUGCUUAUUAGCACUGUAAAAAUGCCUUUGAUUUCUUAUCACCAGCUACAAGUUCUGAAUUUGAAUGUUUUUCUGAAAUGCAAUGCAACUGCAAUUCACUGAUAUCUGUUUGUUUUAAUAUUCAUAGUGUUAUUUAUAGAAGACUAGAACAUUUUGGUGUUCUAUUUGUCUAUACUCCUAAUGAAAAUCUUCUUUGAAAAUAUGUCAAAGCUGAUCGCGUCCUCUAACACCAGCUACAUUUAAGGAGCAGUGACUUCCUUAAAAUACAGGGAAAGCAGAGGUGACUGCCACAGCGAUUGAGACAUAUUAUUACUGCUGUUUCUUUUAUACUUAAAGGAGCGAGUUCAUACAGGUACUGAUAACCCACUCUGUAAGAACAGAUGUUUGCACAGCUAUCCAAUACAAUUCAUAAAUAUACAGAUACACUUUGACCAGCAUGAUGUGGUUUUAGUCAGUUGUUGUCAACAAGAUUAAAACAUUUUUUUUACACUUUGUGUAUUUGCUGCUUAAUCAUGCUAUACUCCCUGAAAUGAUCUACUUUUAGCCUCUGGUGAGAUUCUUCUUGUUUUGUUUUUUUAUUUCUUUAAGAAGAAUCUGUUUUGCUUCCAGGCGAACGUAAUCAGAAUUUAAUGCACUUCUGGGCAGAAAAACACCUAUACAUCACUGUCAUCCUUUAUCUCUGCUUCCUGUUUGAAUAAAAACAAAAGGUGUGUUCAAUUUGUUAUCAGAGAUAACCUGCAAAAAAUUGACAUCUGACGGGAAAGACUGACGGAAAACAAGUUCUGAAAGUAAGCAGGGACAGAAUCACUUCACCAUACUGUGCACUUUGUUUCAUGCUUACUGUGUUAAUGUUUUAAAUUAGACCCUGUGCUCUCUGAAUUUUGAAAAUCAAAGCUAGACAGUGGUCCCCUGCUUGAUUUGGUCCUUACUGAGUACUGAGUGCUGUAUUGUCUGUUUGUUUUGUACAUUACUGUCUGAAUAACCGUUUUACACAAUAUGAUGUUUUGUAACUCUAAUGAUACCCACGCACAUUAGAAAGAUGCAUACAUGUUUUUAUGUCUCGUCUAUAUCUCGAAUUACACAAAUGAAUACAGUAAUUCAUGUAGUCAGACAUGUUAAAUGUUAAACACAGUGUGUGAUGGACGCACUGAGCAUGUGAUUUUUGUAUAUAAACGCAUUGUAAAUGA